rnacentral:rRNA from 1 species
GACGAACGCUGGCGGCGUGCUUAACACAUGCAAGUCGAACGGACAGGCCCUGCUUUUGUGGGGUGCUCGAGUGGCGAACGGGUGAGUAACACGUGAGUAACCUGCCCUUGUCUUUGGGAUAACUUCUGGAAACUGGGGCUAAUACCGGAUAGGAGCUCCUGCUGCAUGGUGGGGGUUGGAAAGUUUCGGCGGUUGGGGAUGGACUCGCGGCUUAUCCGCUUGUUGGUGGGGUAGUGGCUUACCAAGGCUUUGACGGGUAGCCGGCCUGGGAGGGGGACCGGCCACAUGGGGACUGAGAUACGGCCCAGACUCCUACGGGACGCAGCAGUGGGGAAUAUUGCACAAUGGGCGGAAGCCUGAUGCAGCAACGUCGCGUGCGGGAUGACGGCCUUCGGGUUGUAAACCGCUUUCGCCGGUGACGAAGCGUGAGUGACGGUAAUGGGUAAAGAAGCACCGGCUAACUACGUG